rnacentral:rRNA from 1 species
GGAUUAGAUACCCUGGUAGUCCACGCCCUAAACGAUGUCUACUAGUUGUCGGGUCUUAAUUGACUUGGUAACGCAGCUAACGCGUGAAGUAGACCGCCUGGGGAGUACGGUCGCAAGAUUAAAACUCAAAGGAAUUGACGGGGACCCGCACAAGCGGUGGAUGAUGUGGAUUAAUUCGAUGCAACGCGAAAAACCUUACCUACCCUUGACAUGUACAGAAUCCUUGAGAGAUCAGGGAGUGUUCGAAAGAAAACUGUAACACAGGUGCUGCAUGGCUGUCGUCAGCUCGUGUCG